rnacentral:rRNA from 1 species
UGGGGAAUAUUGCACAAUGGGCGCAAGCCUGAUGCAGCCAUGCCGCGUGUGUGAAGAAGGCCUUCGGGUUGUAAAGCACUUUCAGCGAGGAGGAAGGUGGUGAGCUUAAUACGCUCAUCAAUUGACGUUACUCGCAGAAGAAGCACCGGCUAACUCCGUGCCAGCAGCCGCGGUAAUACGGAGGGUGCAAGCGUUAAUCGGAAUUACUGGGCGUAAAGCGCACGCAGGCGGUUUGUUAAGUCAGAUGUGAAAUCCCCGGGCUCAACCUGGGAACUGCAUUUGAAACUGGCAAGCUAGAGUCUCGUAGAGGGGGGUAGAAUUCCAGGUGUAGCGGUGAAAUGCGUAGAGAUCUGGAGGAAUACCGGUGGCGAAGGCGGCCCCCCUGGACGAAGACUGACGCUCAGGUGCGAAAGCGUGGGGCAGCAAACAGGAUUAGAUACCCUGGUAGUCCACGCUGUAAACGAUGUCGAUUUGGAGGUUGUGCCCCUUGAGGCGUGGCUUCCGGAGCUAACGCGUUAAAUCGACCGCC